AAUAGCGUAUAUUAAAGUUGUUGCAGUUAAAAAGCUCGUAGUUGAACUUCGAAUGUGGCUGGGCGGUCCGCCUCCGGGUGUGUACUGUCUGGCUGUGUUCUCUUUCUUGGUGAGCCGGUAUGCCCUUUACUGGGUGUGUUGGGGAACCAGGACCUUUACCUUGAGAAAAUUAGAGUGUUCAAAGCAGGCCUACGCCCGAAUACAUUAGCAUGGCAUAAUAAAAUAGGACGCGUGAUUCUAUUUUGUUGGUUUCUAGAGUUGCCGUAAUGAUUAAUAGGGAUAGUUGGGGGCAUUAGUAUUCCGUUGCUAGAGGUGAAAUUCUUGGAUUUACGGAAGACUAACUUCUG
rnacentral:rRNA from 1 species